rnacentral:rRNA from 1 species
UACGAAGGGGGCUAGCGUUGUUCGGAAUACUGGGCGUAAAGCGCACGUAGGCGGGUUGUUAAGUCAGGGGUGAAAUCCUGGAGCUCAACUCCAGAACUGCCUUUGAUACUGGCAACCUAGAGACUGGAAGAGGUUAGUGGAAUUCCCAGUGUAGAGGUGAAAUUCGUAGAUAUUGGGAAGAACACCAGUGGCGAAGGCGGCUAACUGGUCCAGCACUGACGCUGAGGUGCGAAAGCGUGGGGAGCAAACAGG